GGAGAGUCUUUGGGAAGGAGAAGGGGAAGGAGUGUCCCACAAAUGAAUCAUAAGAUCAGAGGAUCUCAGAUUCCGAAGGAAACUUAGAGGCCAUCACUCCAUACCUGUGGAUAGGACACAUGAGUCCCUCCUCCAGAGGAGAUGAAACUCCGAAUGUGAAAGAUGCUCUCCUAACACCAGGAGGAAAAGAACAUUUUUAUCACCAGAGAUGGGGAGUCAAGGUCGAGGGAAAUUUGUACAAACAGACCUUAUUAAAAUAACUUUUAUCUUC